rnacentral:rRNA from 1 species
GACGAGGGGUCCAAGCGUUGUUCGGAAUCAUUGGGCGUAAAGCGGGUGUAGGCGGCUCUAUAAGUCAGGGGUGAAAGCCCCGAGCUUAACUUGGGAAGUGCUUUUGAUACUGCAGAGCUUGAAUGUGGGAGAGGUCAGUGGAAUUCCUGGUGUAGUGGUGAAAUACGUAGAUAUCAGGAGGAACACCGGUGGCGAAGGCGGCUAACUGGCCCAACAUUGACGCUGAGACCCGAAAGCAUGGGGAUCAAACAGG